rnacentral:rRNA from 1 species
GACGAACGCUGGCGGCGUGCUUAACACAUGCAAGUCGAACGGAAAGGCCCUGAUUCUGUGGGGUGCUCGAGUGGCGAACGGGUGAGUAACACGUGAGUAACCUGCCCUUGACUUUGGGAUAACUUCAGGACACUGGGGCUAAUACCGGAUAGGAGCUCCUGAUGUACGGUGGGGGUUGGAAAGUUUCGGCGGGGGGGGAUGGACUCGAGGUUUAUCAGCUUGUUGGUGGGGUAGUGUCUUACCAAGGCUUUGACGGGUAGCUGGCCUGAGAGGGUGACCGGCCACAUUGGGACUGAGAUACGGCCCAGACUCCUACCUUAUACAUCAGUCUUAAAUAUUUCACAAUCAUCGAAAGCCUGAUUCAUCAACACAGCGUGCGGGAUGACGGCCUUCGUGUUGUGAACCUCUUUCACCUCUAACCAGUCUUCAGGAACCUUCAUCCCUAAAUAAUCACGGGCUAACUACAUG